rnacentral:rRNA from 1 species
AUGGGCGGCCGCGCUCCACCAGCUGGGAGUCGGAGGAACAGCGGCCUCGGUCCAGAGAAGCAGCAGCAAGAGCCAUGGCCGGAAGAGAUGUCGCUCAACGAAUUGGCUAUGAUACUGGCAUACCUUCAGAAGGGCGUAAUCGGCAUGGGCUACCUGGCGCUUACGUGGUCGACGGUAGUCCUCCUGGGUGGCUUCGUCACCGCGCUGGGGAAGAAGGAUUUUUGGUGCCUCACCGCUAUUAGCAUGAUACGGGCAGCCUGGCUCUUCAAGGAGUGGGAAGAGCUGAUGAUCAAUUCCCUUAAAGGGCGGGUGAUGUGCGUGUGUGACUCUUUCAUCUGUGCCGGGAUCUCCCUGUGGCGCGUAAUACAACGUGAUUAUGGCAACAUUGACAGGGACAACACCAAAGCAAACCUGAUGCCAGCAUUGGACUUUUUCUAUUAUCUAGUUCUCUGUCAAGGUGCACUCUCCUUUUUAUGGUGUAUAUCUGCCUUUAGACCGGUGGUUGCACGCUUUAAAGCUCCACUCCUACGAGUAUGCGAGUUCCCAGAGAUAUGGGGUGGCACAUCAGUUCAAGGGUACCUGUCUGACACCCGUGAUAAAUUCUUGCGGAACCCUGAAACAUCCACUCAGGAUAGUAGAUUGGUCAAGUACGCAGUCCAUUUGCUGGACUCUGAAUCAUCGCAAGAAGACUACCUCUCAGGAGCAAGGAUGCUGGAUGUGUUCAUCAAGGUGCACCUAAUGGAUGUAAGGCCACUUAUACUCCCCUCGAGCCAAAAGGUUCAAAAGCUGAUGGAUACACUUAGGUGGAGUAGCAGUGACAGAGAGAUUAAGGAGCUCGCUGCUAGGAUAUUGGCACAUCUUGCCUGUCACAUCGAUCUAACACAGUUCCCUGGGGCAAUACGGUGCAUAUCCUCCCUACUCAGUUCCACCACCCAGCUGCCAUAUUGGAAUAACGACCAACAAGGAUCUUGUAAUCAGUCACCUCAAGGUGCAGGGGACAGCCAAGAAGAUCGCUGGAAUGAGUUGAUUCUGCAAGGCCUAACAAUUCUGGAGAGGCUGGCGUCUGACCAACACAACUGCAGGGACAUAUGCAGCAGCCCUGAUCUAAUCGCCAAGAUCAUGUCACCUAUCUGCUCUGAAACACUAAUCCAAGAUAUCAACAUAAUGCCGGCAUGGCAAGAUGUAGUAAAUGGAGCCUACAGAGUGGUGCACCGACUCAUCCGUGCUCCCGAGUGGACUGGUGGCAGAAGGCUGGCCCAUGAAAUCUCCUCUAGUGAGCGGGCUGUGAGCAACCUGGAGAGGAUUCUUCAUCAGGGCAACACAGGUAGCCAACAACUGCAGAUGCGAGCUAUGGAGAUACUGGCAGAAUUGGCUUUGGAUUCGUCCGCUAACCUCGCCAUGGAAACAAAGGAAAAUCUGAUGAGCAAGCAGCUGCAAAUCUUCCUUAAUGAAGGGACAGGAGAAGACCUUAAGGUUAUGGCUGGGAAAACACUACUGGCAUUACUAUCCAAGACUACAAGAGCUAUAUCCGUGGUGUGUAUAAUGCGCAAAUACAAUCCCAUUGUUGAUCAAGUCACUGAAAUGCUUGAUGCUAAGAACAAGGCCAUAUACAGAACAAUAGCAGCUGAGAUCUUGGAGAAUUUUUUUGCUCUACAUACGAUGGACAAGAAUCAUGUGAAGAAUACCUUGCUGCCAAAGGUGCUGGCAGAAGUUUUAACCAGUAAAAAGAAGCCGCCAUCAGAAGCACCGGAAAGGCAGGCAUCCAAAGGAUCAGGAGAUAUUGAAGAAAAUCCACUUCAAGACGACGAAGAAAAUCAACACCUGGAACAUAAUGUCCAGAUCAAUUCAUCCGAGCAAAAUGAGACGCAGGCAGCCAUGGUGGAAUUGAAGGAAGCAUUGUUAUCCCUUACUUCGGUGAUAUUUGACAAGCUGAUAAUCAGUGCAGAGGAUUUUGACGAAGUGGCUCAAAAGGUUGCCCCAGGAGAAGGUGAAUUUGUGGCGAAGCUCAAGACUAUAGUAGAAGAGAACUGCGACGCCACGGCUAAUAGCCUAAGAAUCGUCAAGCUUUGCGGUCAGAUUGCGGUUACAAUGAUGCGGCGCAGCCAGUACAACACACACUUCAAGGAUCAGAAAUUCGUGGAGACAUUGUCUAAGGCUUCAAGAAUCACGUGUAACCUUGAAACCUGCAUGCUCUUCGCUGGGACAGAUUGUGGCGCCAAGAAGACUGCCAGGCCCCUCCUCUCAGAUCUUGUGAAAGAGGCAGAAGCGUUGGUUGCUUAA